AGCAGACCACUAUCUGCUGUAUCCAUCAAGCGCUGUGCUGACAGGGCAAUCUUGUGACUAUUGUGGGAGGGACAUUUCAAUCAUAUGUGAAAUAUCCUGUUUGGGGGUAUAUAACUACUCUGUGCACCCCACUUCUUCAGUGCCCUUUCUUCCUUUGGGAAGAAGGGCCCCAGGCCAUGGUCCUCAUAAAGCUUUGUUUAAUUUUCUCUUGCCAUUCUGUCUCAUGUGAAUUUAAUUUGUUCUCUGGCUGGACGAACCCACUUUGGAUAGAGGAAAUGUCUUCCUCCUCUACAGGUUCCUCAUGCUAAGGACCAGCAGGCAAGAGAAAGAUCUGUCGACGAAAAUAAUCCAUAACCAAUCUGUAAAUGAAAAUUUGGAUCCUGGCGGGGGUAAUUGACUCCUAUCAAGAGGCGGUGGAACUGCUGUUUUACAACUUUCAGUACUGUCUUGUGCAAUUUUGAUGGCAAAUGGAUAAGCACAGCAGGUGCAGCCUGAGAGGAGCAUGGAAAGAGGUCCACCAAUGUACUGAAGGAGCUACUCUCAGAACUCAUAUGAAGAAAGUGGAUCUGAAUGGCACAAGGUCUGGACCAUCCCGGAAGCUAUGCUGCCCUUUCCAGACCACACCUGUCAGCCCUCUUAGAAAUUGCUUCAGCUGAAGAGAGCUGCUUUGCUCAGUCAGGUCCCCUCUGGGCAGCCAGUGUCCACUGACUAAUUGACACCCAAUCCUAU
rnacentral:lncRNA from 1 species